rnacentral:rRNA from 1 species
GACGAACGCUGGCGGCGCGCUUAACACAUGCAAGUCGAGCGAAGCGGCGGACGGGUGAGUAACACGUGAGUAACCUGCCUUAGACAUUGGGAUAGCCUCGGGAAACCGGGAUUAAUAAAAAAUGGUCGAAGAUGGACUCGCGUCACAUUAGCUCGUGGGUGUGGUAACGGCCCACCAAGGCGACGAUGGGUUGACGGCUGGUGCGGUGGGACGGCCACAUUAGAACUGGGAGACGUGCCAAACUCUAAGGGGGGCAGCAGUUGGGAAGAAUGCACAUGGGAGGGGACUCGGAUGCAGCGAGGCCGCGUGAACGAAGAGGGCUUUCGAGUCGUAAAGUUCUUGUAUAUGGGAAGCGGUACCAUAAGAAAGAGCCCCAGCUAAGUACGUGCCAGCCGCCGCGGUAAUAC